UGAUGAGCACCAGGCAUCAGGGGAUUUCUGUAGCACCUACUUCUCUGCACACAUUUGCCACUGAUGAGCAGUCAACAUCCCCCAGCCCCCAAGCUUGAGGCCUGCACACAAAUGCUUUUGCAUUUACUGCCUCCUACGUCCUGGGUAUGUGUCCUCCUUGGGCUUCUACUGAGCGGUAAAGCAGAGACACCCCAGCAGGACCCAGAAAUUCAAGAACAGGGGAACGGAUGGUUUGAGGAGGGUGAAGAAGAGGAGUGACGGGAUGCUGGCUCGAAUUUGGGGUACCCCCAUUCUGUGAUGCCCCCUUCUUCUCAUCCCAGGUGAAGAGAAGUCAAAAGUCCUCUGGGGAAAACCCCACUUCUCUCACAACAGGAUGCAAAUCUCCCACUGAGGAGAGAUCUAAAUGCUAGAGCACUGGAAGACUUGAGUGUUGUUUUUACCAGGAAAUCCAGCUGGAGGAAAAUGAUAUAUAAUCGUGAACAGAAGACUUCGUAUUUAAAUGAUUGUUUAUUAUUUGCAUUUUAUUCAAAUUCUUAGGAACUCUUGGAAAUAAACACAGGAGGAAAGCUUUGGGAAACCACCAUCUAAAUACCAAUGCCGAUGGAUGACACUUGUCCUGCUCUGCUUUGUAUCCGAGUUAUUUGUGCCCUUUUUCAACUCCUCAGACUCUAAGAUCUUGAGAGUUGUGUCUAAGUUAUAUUCUGAGCCCCCAUGGUGCUUCAUAUAGUAUUUAGUAAUCACUGUGCUGAAACAGACUGUCAUUUGAAGACAAAAAUUUCCCCUCUUGGAAAAAUUAGGAUGCUAUCAGCAGAGGACUCUGAAAGAAGAACAUAGUAAACACAACGUAAUCGGGGCAAAAGGCUCUCUCAGUGUGACAAGCUCUUACUGCAUUAAAAUAAUAUAUAUUAAAAUAAUAUAAAAUUAUUCCAUUAUUGAACUUUAUCAGCACCACACUCUAACCAGCUGAGCUAACUGGCCAACCCCCGUUAUUGAACUUUAGAGAUGAAGGAUAGCUCAGCCAGAACUCCCUAGGGCAGCUUUGGAGACAUCUGUAGAGAGUAUAACCUGAGCGCAGGCUACUGUCUAAAUAUGUUGGGUCGAAGAGAGAAAAACUGGCAGAACCCCAAAUUAAAAUCCUCCUUAUUUUUUACCUCCGCCCUUCACUUCUUCCUUUCUGUCUUCUUGGAGAGCUCUUCGUUGUUGUCUUUGUAGCACUUUUCUGCACACUCUCCAGCCGCUGGUUUCAGAUUUUCAUAAGGUUGUGGUAUAUUUAUUUAUUUAUUUAUUUUUUUAAGAUUUUAUUUAUUUAUUUGAGAGAGAGAGAAUGAGAGACAGAGAGCAUGAGAGGGAGGAGGGUCAGAGGGAGAAGCAGACUCCCUGCCGAGCAGGGAGCCCGAUGCGGGACUCGAUCCCGGGACUCCAGGAUCAUGACCUGAGCCGAAGGCAGUCGCUUAACCAACUGAGCCAUCCAGGCGCCCAGGUUGUGGUAUAUUUAAAAACUGCUGAUACUAACGUACUUAAGGCAUCAGGCAAAGAGAAGGUAAGAACCUUAACUUAAGGCCCUUUAAAGCACG